UGUUUCUCAACAGCUUGGGGAGCACUUAUAGUGAGGAUACUGCUCCUAAUGUGCAUGUGAAAGCAAAUCUGGCAAAAGAAGAGUGGAGAAGAGGACCAUGCUGAAUUAGUGUAAGACAGAAGAGAAGGAUUGUGUACUGCAUUUCUAGUUUAAGAUCUUCACGGUAUUUUCACUGAAGGCAUUUGCGACGGUUCUGCAGCUAAAUAACAUUAAACCUUGGUGUGUGAAAUGACCUUGAUGUACUGCACCAGCUUCACACUCAAUCAGUGGAGAAAAAAUAAAAAUAAAAAAAAAUAGUGUGAAUGUGUCAGAUAAAGAUGUUCCAAUCUGCUUUAAUCCUGACUCCAGUUACCCAGAAACUGUCUAUCCAGUUGUAUGUGAAAACCUGGAGUAACGGCUAUUGAGCCAAAUUUCAUCAUCUGCCAGGCUGCUCAGGCCAAGAGGCAGCAGGAAGCUGUUGACAAUGGAGAGAGGCCCCAAGACAGGCCAUAAUAGCACAAGCCAAGUGCUAGGAAUUUAGCAGCUGAGAGAAGAUGAGCAACAAGACAAAAAUGUUAUCCUGGCAAGGAAGUGCUCAAGGAUGUAAUUAACAAUGGUACAUCCUGUUCUGGCUACCUUCCUCACUUUGCCUGCUGAUGUAUUUCUUGACGAAUGGCUCAUUUCACCCCAAGCCACAUAAUCAGUACUCCUCUUCUUCCCUUGUUGAAGAUUUGAAAAAUGUACUUGCAGAAAUCUGUACAGGCUAAGCAUGAAUUUCCUUCAUUUUUCAGUCCUGAGCCAAGUCUUUACUCUUUGAAGAUGUCAUUAAAACCACCUCAAAGUCUCUCUGCCUCACACUGUUAUUUUCAGGAAUUGCUUAAAGAGAGAGUGCUGUGACAAACAUGAAGAGAGCAACUGCUGCCCAGAGAACGGAAGUGGGUUACAGCUCGGAGGCAAUUUGCAGGGGAAAGAGAACAUGAGGGUGAAAUCCAUUAAAACUGGCAGAAAAGUUGGCUGCAUUUCUGUAGAGUCAAUGAAAUCAAAUAGAAAUAUGAAGCUGAGAAAAAGGAAGGAAUGUGUGCGGCUGUGUGAAGUAGAGUCCAGCUCAGCCAUUGCAAAGUGGAAUGAGGACCUUGCCUGCCUGUCAGAAAAGAGAUGUGCCAAGCACCUUUUCCUUGAGCAUAGGAGGAUCAAACAACAGGAGAUUGUUUUCAGCUGGUACUCAGACCCAAAAGCUCUGUCUAGGAUUUUCUCAGUGCCGCAUCCCACAUUUGCCCAGCCUGCAUCUGGAUAUCCUUUAUAAAAAUCUGUUUGUCUGUGGUGUUUCUGCUGUCCUCUUAGUCACACCCACACACCAGUCAGACAAAUCUUCUUUUGCAUAAUUCAAAUUCCUGCUUUGGCUUGUGACAAGCUGUAUGGUAGGAUCAAGGCUGUUUAUGUAUUUUUUAAUAAAGGAAUUAGACUAUGAA